AACGAACGCUGGCGGCAGGCUUAACACAUGCAAGUCGAACGCAUCGCAAGAUGAGUGGCAGACGGGUGAGUAACGCGUGGGAACAUACCCUUUUCUACGGAAUAGCUCUGGGAAACUGGAAUUAAUACCGUAUACGCCCUACGGGGGAAAGAUUUAUCGGGGAAGGAUUGGCCCGCGUUGGAUUAGCUAGUUGGUGGGGUAAAGGCCUACCAAGGCGACGAUCCAUAGCUGGUCUGAGAGGAUGAUCUGCCACAUUGGGACUGAGACACGGCCCAAACUCCUACGGGAGGCAGCAGUGGGGAAUAUUGGACAAUGGGCGCAAGCCUGAUCCAGCCAUGCCGCGUGAGUGAUGAAGGCCUUAGGGUUGUAAAGCUCUUUCACCGAUGAAGAUAAUGACGGUAGUCGGAGAAGAAGCCCCGGCUAACUUCGUGCCAGCCGCCGCGGUAAUAC
rnacentral:rRNA from 1 species